UACGGAGGGGGCUAGCGUUGUUCGGAAUCACUGGGCUUAAAGGGCGCGUAGGCGGCCGAUCAAGUCGGGGGUGAAAGCCUGUGGCUCAACCACAGAAUUGCCUUCGAUACUGUUUGGCUUGAGACCGGAAGAGGUUAGUGGAACUGCGAGUGUAGAGGUGAAAUUCGUAGAUAUUCGCAAGAACACCAGUGGCGAAGGCGGCUGACUGGUCCGGUUCUGACGCUGAGGCGCGAAAGCGUGGGGAGCAAACAGG
rnacentral:rRNA from 1 species